AAAGUAACUGUUCUUUAUUUAUUCAUAGUAUGAUAACAAGCAUGAUGCAAAAAUGAUACAGCAAACAACACAGAUUAACAGUUACACGUACUUCCUCAAGACGAAAUAGUGUUUACUGUUGAACACCAUAUUUACAAGUAGUAACACAUGAUUUGACAUCAUUUAUACACUUAUGCUCAUUACUACAAUCAUGGUCGAAAGCAACGUCGCAACUGUCAUCAAUACAGGUCACGUAUGUAGAUAGACAAUUUUUAUCCACACACUCCUUAAAUCCCUGCUGCCCUGACUGCCCAUUCACAUAUGUUGUUGCCGAACCCAACACAAUCAGAAAAAACAGAAAUGGAAGCAAUGAAGUCAUAUUAAUUUUGAGAUAACUUGAAAUGUGAAAAGAUAUUGGCUGAGUUUAUAAUUGUGUUAUAACUUGUAUUUAUAAUCAAGUAACCUCCAAAUUAAUUUAUUGAAUUACUUUUUCUCAAAGCAAUACAAAGUUACGUGGGUGCACGGUAAUGAAUUGUAUUUUAUUUCCUUUUUAAAUGGUCAUCUUUUGUCAAUAUCAUAUGUUAUAGGGAAUUUUUAAACAUUAAUAACACUUCUAGUCGUCUAGAGAUGGAGAAGAAUGAAUAGUUCAGAAAUUUUCACUGCAAAAAUUGUAAAUAACAAUAUAUAUAUUUUCAAAAAAUAUUAGAUAUGAAUGAAAUUGUGUCUACUCAUGAUGCGAUCUCAGUCGCUACGCAGAUAUCGGAGGCGCCGUCGAAACUAUCCUUGCCAGAGCAGCAUCUCCGGUGGAGAUUGGGGCCGAUGAGAAGGAAGAUAGACUAAUUUCUGAAUUUCAAGGCAGUUUA
rnacentral:lncRNA from 1 species